CUAAGGUUUUUCUCAAGUUCUCGGGUUGCAGGGCGCUGGUUGAGGGGUCCGCAGAUGAACAAAUACGGGAGUUGGUAGUUUCUCGUUCCUUCCAGCAAUCUGGAGUUCUGAGCUCCAUGGAACAUGCCACUCUGGAUCUCAGGGUUCAGAGAGAAGUGUGCGAUAGUCUGAGCUUGCACAGCUCCCCCAGGCUCCCCGGCUCUCCAGGUGCACCGGCAGUGGGAACAAGGGCCGGCGGUUCUCACCAGAGGGACAACAGCUGACCUGUUUCAUUAGCUGUCCUCCCUGUCCUUGGACGUGAGGCACGGCUGGCCCAGAUCUCCGAUGUGACCAGCUGACACACGCUGCUCUGUACAAACACGUACCAGAAUAAGAAUGGAGGACUUGCUCAUGCACACAGAGCUGCCCUGGGGCCACCAUGGUCUGGAGAUAAACCCACAUGGCCAUUCUGAGGGCUGCAGUGGUGGCAACUCUGGUUUAAAUGCCUCCUUAACAGGACCACUCUCUAAUAAACACUAGAAGUUAAUCUGCUUCUUCA